GCGUAAGAGCUCGUAGGUCGUUUGUUACGUCGGAUGUGAAAACCUGAGGCUCAACCUCAGGCCUGCAUUCGAUACGGGCAAACUAGAGUUUGGUAGGGGAGACUGGAAUUCCUGGUGUAGCGGUGGAAUGCGCAGAUAUCAGGAGGAACACCAAUGGCGAAGGCAGGUCUCUGGGCCAAUACUGACACUGAGGAGCGAAAGUCUGGGGAGCGAACAGGAUUAGAUACCCUGGUAGUCCAGACCGUAAACGGUGGGCACUAGUUGUGGGAACCUUCCACGGUUUCUGCGACGCAGCUAACGCAUUAAGUGCCCCGCCUGGGGAGUACGAUCGCAAGAUUAAAACUCAAAGGAAUUGACGGGGCCCCGCACAAGCAGCGGAGCAUGCGGCUUAAUUCGACGCAACGCGAAGAACCUUACCAAGGCUUGACAUAUAGGGAAAAGUGGCAGAGAUGUCAUGUCCGCAAGGGCUCUAUACAGGUGGUGCAUGGUUGUCGUCAGCUCGUGUCGUGAGAUGUUGGGUUAAGUCCCGCAACGAGCGCAACCCUCGUUCUGUGUUGCCAGCAUUUAGUUGGGGACUCACAGGAGACUGCCGGGGUUAACUCGGAGGAAGGUGGGGAUGACGUCAAAUCAUCAUGCCCCUUAUGUCUUGGGCUGCACGCAUGCUACAAUGGCCGGUACAGAGGGCUGCAAUACCGUA
rnacentral:rRNA from 1 species